rnacentral:rRNA from 1 species
AUUGAACGCUGGCGGCAGGCCUAACACAUGCAAGUCGAACGGUAGCACAGAGGAGCUUGCUCCUUGGGUGACGAGCGGCGGACGGGUGAGUAAUGUCUGGGAAACUGCCCGAUGGAGGGGGAUAACUACUGGAAACGGUAGCUAAUACCGCAUAACGUCGCAAGACCAAAGAGGGGGACCUUCGGGCCUCUUGCCAUCGGAUGUGCCCAGAUGGGAUUAGCUAGGAAGUGGGGUAACGGCUCACCUAGGCGACGAUCCCUAGCUGGUCUGGGAGGAUGACCAGCCACCCUGGAACUGAGACACGGUCCAGACUCCUACGGGAGGCAGCAGUGGGGAAUAUUGCACAAUGGGCGCAAGCCUGAUGCAGCCAUGCCGCGUGUAUGAAGAAGGCCUUCGGGUUGUAAAGUACUUUCAGCGAGGAGGAAGGUGUUGAGGUUAAUAACCUCAGCAAUUGACGUUACUCGCAGAAGAAGCACCGGCUAACUCCGUGCCAGCCGCCGCAGUAA